GGGCUCCUGAGCGCCCAGGUUCAGCUGCUGUGUGUAGGGGUUGGAGUCGGGGUUGGGGUCGGGGUCGGGGGCCUUGGGCCGGGCUGGUAUAGGUUCCGGGGCGUGGAGGGAGGGCCAUCAGCUUUUGCACGCUUAUGAGCAGGAGGUUGCUGCAGGUUGUAGUUCUUUGAUGGGUAAAUUUGAGCAAAUGUCUCAACUUUUGUCACCGACUCAGCGGGUCCUUUAGCUCAUGCUAAAGGAAUGAAAUCAAACAGGACUAAUAAAGAGAGGGUUAGAAAGAAUUUUUAUGUUGAUUAAUAUAGCAAUGUGAUUACUCAUAAGCAGAAAAGCCAGGAGAGGUGGCUCUGCCCCACUGGCAGAAGGGCAAGGAAGGCAAAGGAUAAACACAGAGCUGUGGAUCAGAAACUUGCAUAUUUAUAGGUUACAUAGCAAUAUUCAUUACUAAGUUGCAAUUUCUUAGUCCACCUGCACCGUUUUGCACAUGAUCAUAAAUGUGUCUCAAAUCGUUAAGUCUUGCCCCAGGUGUUUAUUUUACUGUGGAAGUGAAUUCCAAUGAGAGUCCUGGUUACCUGGUUACUUUCGGUUGUGGUCAGAUCUGGUUACAUCAAUUGAUUUUUUUUUUUUUAAUUUUGAACAAUGAAUGCAGUUGGCUAGGGCUUUUGACCAUCCAUCUUGAGCAUAGAGCAUUUAGUGCCUUUUGUCACCAGUUUAACUCUAUACUCCUGCCUCAUUUUGACAUUUGUAACUAAGCAUGAGCCUAGAUGGCCCAAAAGCCUAAAUUGCUGUGAGUGAGCAGGAAUUAGGACAGGGGCCUGUGACUGAUUCACCUGGCAGGUUCCAGGUCCCAUGAGAUCAGCUCUUAUGCCAAACACUUCCUAGGGACUGUGUGCUACUGUGCCCGAGAGAGAGAGAGAGAGAGCUGUGAUAUUGCAAAGGAGGCUCUGAGAAGGCUGGAAGAUCAGGGAGAAGGUGCAUUAAAUCUAUAGGAAACCGGGUAGUCAUAAGCCAGGCAAACACAAGUUCUUUUAUUUCAACUUAAUUUCUAAUAUCUAUAACUCUCAAUCACAUAUCACACGUUACACAAUUUUUGCAAAGGCAAAAAGCAGAUAUAAAUGCAGAAUUACUGUAGGUGGUCAAAUAGAACUUGUCCAGGGUGCAGAGCCAGGUUCAGUGAAAGGCCAAGGCUCGUCAUCGGAGAUCAAAAUGCACACACAGAUAGCAGUGACAAAGAUGAAGCACUUUACUGCAAGCUGGUUCUAGCUUAUAUAGAAAGUGAGAGUCAGUUAUGUUAAACCAGGAAGCUCCCGGGGCCAAUCAUAGUAAAGGUCAGAUCAUCACCUACGGUGCACGCAUGUCCACCCUGCAUAAGAUUCAUGGGGGGCACCAGCUGUCCACGAUCACGGAAGAUAGGAGGACCAAUUAGAAAAUUUUCAAAACAACUUGUUAUCUGCCCACUGGCAACUUGCCUGCCGCCAUGUUGCAUUAGGGGCUCCUUAUCUGAAAGGCCCGGGGAGUUCUAGCCACCCACUGGCAAUUUGCCCACCGCCAUGUUUUAAAGGCCCAGGGAGUUCUCAUGGAGACUCCCAACAUUCAGAAUAGACAGCAGUUUCAGAGUGUCAGCUUGAGAUAUCAGCUUGGAGUGGGCCAUGUACUAUCAUCAUGGACAGGAGAAGUUGUACUCUGCUGAAGCCUGGGGAUGGAGAUUCAGAGGUUUAUUGCUGUGGUGAUUUUCCUGGGCAAGGCUCGUGAUGAAAAUUGAUCAGGUGAUGGGAUCAGGGUGCCCACAAUGUCCAGUCUCAGGGCAUGCCUCCUUUUAGGGAUCUCAAAUGAGGGGUUGCUUUACUCCAUGGUCUGGCAUGUUUGAUGAGCUCCUGAUCCUGGAUUUCCAAUAUGUGUUUGAUAAGCUUGUGCAUCCGCGUGCUUCAGAUUAAUUCACUAAGUUCACAUGUGGUCAUUCUUAUUAGCAUGAUUAACUUAUUUAUCACUUUGUGCUUUAUGGUUGUGCCUGGUAGGUGGUGGUGGUUUACUUGUACAAACAAGGCAUGGAGGCAUUCCACCUCAGCACUUAAACUCAAAAUCGGAGCUUCACAGGGGUGGGAGAAAGUGGCUCUGUGCGCCCUCUGCCUGAGCAGCGCAGGAUGCUAAAUACUCCCUGCUCAGCAGUGCUUCUGCACCCUCUCGUGGCAGUUCCGUGAAGCUCUGAAAUUUUUUCGGAUUAUUCCAGGCCAAGAUUUUGGAACUCAAACAGAAAUAGAGCCUACCAUCCCACACCGUAAUCCGAACGGAUGAAGACAGCAAGAAGCAAAGUACAUGGUUGACAGGCCUUGGAAUCUGGCAGAGGUGCCUCUGCAUGUAAUGCUGUGUUGGUUUUCUGAGUGCAGUGGCUUGAAAGCUGGGCUUCCUGUGAUGCCUUCUGGGGAGAAAGGAUGCUACUUGAACUUUCAGGGGCAUCUGGGAAGAAAUGUACCUUGGGAGCCAGGCCAGCACUCCAUGAGGAACAGGUACAGAUUUUCACCUUUCAACACAAGUUAUAGAGCUUCAUUUUGAAUAAAAAACAGAGGUAUCAAGAAUUUUCUUAAGUUUUCUGCUGAGAUGAAACCACUGCCAUCCUUCAGUAGUGUAGUUGGCAGCUUCCUGGUUUAGAGGGAGAAUUUGAGAAUUAUUCAGGACUUGAAGGUGGGUCUUUUCAGCUCAGCAGUCACAGAUCAGAAUUGAGCUCCCUGUGACUUCUGUGCAGUGAAGUCUUCCCUAGACAGGGAAGUGUUCCACCUUCCCACCACCUGUGCACAAGGUCAC
rnacentral:lncRNA from 1 species